rnacentral:rRNA from 1 species
GAUGAACGCUGGCGGCGUGCCUAAUACAUGCAAGUCGAGCGAACAGACGAGGAGCUUGCUCCUCUGACGUUAGCGGCGGACGGGUGAGUAACACGUGGAUAACCUACCUAUAAGACUGGGAUAACUUCGGGAAACCGGAGCUAAUACCGGAUAAUAUAUUGAACCGCAUGGUUCAAUAGUGAAAGACGGUUUUGCUGUCACUUAUAGAUGGAUCCGCGCCGCAUUAGCUAGUUGGUAAGGUAACGGCUUACCAAGGCAACGAUGCGUAGCCGACCUGAGAGGGUGAUCGGCCACACUGGGACUGAGACACGGCCCAGACUCCUACGGGAGGCAGCAGUAGGGAAUCUUCCGCAAUGGGCGGAAGCCUGACGGAGCAACGCCGCGGGAGUGAAGAAGGGCUUCGGAUCGUAAAACUCUGUUAUUAGGGAAGAACAAAUGUGUAAGUAACUAGGCCCCUCUGUACCGGUCCCUAACAAGAAGGCACGGGCUACCUCCUUG